CGGCGGACGGGUGAGUAACGCGUGGGUAACCUGCCUCAUACAGGGGGAUAACAGUUGGAAACGGCUGCUAAUACCGCAUAAGCGCACAGUACCGCAUGGUACCGUGUGAAAAACUCCGGUGGUAUGAGAUGGACCCGCGUCUGAUUAGCUAGUUGGUGGGGUAACGGCCUACCAAGGCGACGAUCAGUAGCUGACCUGAGAGGGUGACCGGCCACAUUGGGACUGAGACACGGCCCAA
rnacentral:rRNA from 1 species